rnacentral:rRNA from 1 species
AACGAACGCUGGCGGCGUGCUUAACACAUGCAAGUCGAACGGAGUGGCGAACGGGUGAGUAACACGUGGGUGAUCUGCCUUGCACUUCGGGAUAAGCUUGGGAAACUGGGUCUAAUACCGGAUAGUGCAAGAUGAGCUCGCGGCCUAUCAGCUUGUUGGUGGGGUAAUGGCCUACCAAGGCGUCGACGGGUAGCCGGCCUGAGAGGGUGUACGGGCACAUGGGGACUGAGAUAGGGCCCAGACUCGUAUGGGGGGCAGCGGUGGGGAAUAUGGCACAAUGGGCGGAAGCCUGAUGCAGAGACGCCGGGGGGGGGAGGAAGGCUUUCGGGUUGGAAACGCCUUUCGACAGGGACGCGGUACCUGUAGAAGAAGCACCGGCUAACUACGUGCCAGCAGCCGCGGUAAUAC